AGUGAACGCUGGCGGUAGGCCUAACACAUGCAAGUCGAACGGCAGCACAGUAAGAGCUUGCUCUUACGGGUGGCGAGUGGCGGACGGGUGAGGAAUACAUCGGAAUCUACUUUUUCGUGGGGGAUAACGUAGGGAAACUUACGCUAAUACCGCAUACGACCUACGGGUGAAAGCAGGGGAUCUUCGUACCUUGCGCGAUUGAAUAAGCCGAUGUCGGAUUAGCUAGUUGGCGGGGUAAAGGCCCACCAAGGCGACGAUCCGUAGCUGAUCUGAGAGGAUGAUCAGCCACACUGGAACUGAGACACGGUCCAGACUCCUACGGGAGGCAGCAGUGGGGAAUAUUGGACAAUGGGCGCAAGCCUGAUCCAGCCAUACCGCGUGGGUGAAGAAGGCCUUCGGGUUGUAAAGCCCUUUUGUUGGGAAAGAAAAGCAGCAGGUUAAUCCCCCGCUGUUCUGACGGUACCCAAAGAAUAAGCACCGGCUAACUUCGUG
rnacentral:rRNA from 1 species